rnacentral:rRNA from 1 species
AGAACGAACGCUGGCGGCAUGCCUAAUACAUGCAAGUCGAACGAACUCUUCGGAGUUAGUGGCGCACGGGUGCGUAACGCGUGGGAAUCUGCCCCUUGGUUCGGAAUAACAGUUGGAAACGACUGCUAAUACCGGAUGAUGACGAAAGUCCAAAGAUUUAUCGCCAAGGGAUGAGCCCGCGUAGGAUUAGCUAGUUGGUGAGGUAAAGGCUCACCAAGGCAACGAUCCUUAGCUGGUCUGAGAGGAUGAUCAGCCACACUGGGACUGAGACACGGCCCAGACUCCUACGGGAGGCAGCAGUAGGGAAUAUUGGACAAUGGGCGAAAGCCUGAUCCAGCAAUGCCGCGUGAGUGAUGAAGGCCUUAGGGUUGUAAAGCUCUUUUACCCGAGAUGAUAAUGACAGUAUCGGAGAAUAAGCCCGGCUAACUCCGUGCCAGCAGCCGAC